GACGAACCGUGCGAACGUUAUUCGGAAUCACUGGGCUUAAAGCGCGUGUAGGCGGAUGGGGACGUCGGUCGCUGGAAUCCCCCGGCUCAACCGGGGAACUGGCCCCGAAACGCCCCGUCUGGAGGAACGUAGGGGGAUCUGGAACUUCCGGUGGAGCGGUGAAAUGCGUUGAGAUCGGAAGGAACGCCCGUGGCGAAAGCGAGAUCCUGGACGUUUUUCUGACGCUGAGACGCGAAAGCUAGGGUGAGCGAACGGG
rnacentral:rRNA from 1 species